UACGAAGGGUGCAAGCGUUACUCGGAAUUACAGGGCGUAAAGCGCGUGUAGGCGGCGCGGAAAGUCGGGUGUGAAAGCCCUGGGCUCAACCCAGGAAGUGCAUUCGAAACUUCCGAGCUGGAGUCCCGGAGAGGAUGGCGGAAUUCUCGGUGUAGAGGUGAAAUUCGUAGAUAUCGAGAGGAACACCGGUGGCGAAGGCGGCCAUCUGGACGGUGACUGACGCUGAGACGCGAAAGCGUGGGGAGCAAACAGG
rnacentral:rRNA from 1 species